GAAAUGCGAUAAGUAAUGUGAAUUGCAGAAUUCAGUGAAUCAUCGAAUCUUUGAACGCACCUUGCGCUCCUUGGUAUUCCGAGGAGCAUGCCUGUUUGAGUGUCGCUAAAUCAUCAACUCCCCCUUUGCUAUUGUGGUGAAGGCGGCGAGCUUGGAUUUGGGGAUCUGCUGGCUUCACCGUCGGCUUCCCUUGAAUGCAUUAGCUGGAUCUAUGAUUUGCAGCAUAUAUGCGGUGUGAUAAUGUCUUCACUGCAUUGCUCAGAUUUGUCUGGCUUCUAAUAGUCCUUUCAUUGGGACAACUUUGAUCAUUCAGACCUCAAAUCAGGUAGGACUACCCGCUGAACUUAA
rnacentral:misc_RNA from 1 species